CAGUAGCCGCGGGAAUACAGAGGGUGCGAGCGUUAAUCGGAUUUACUGGGCGUAAAGCGUGCGUAGGCGGCUAAUUGAGUCGGAUGUGAAAUCCCCGAGCUUAACUUGGGAAUUGCAUUCGAUACUGGUUAGCUAGAGUGUGGGAGAGGAUGGUAGAAUUCCAGGUGUAGCGGUGAAAUGCGUAGAGAUCUGGAGGAAUACCGAUGGCGAAGGCAGCCAUCUGGCCUAACACUGACGCUGAGGUACGAAAGCAUGGGGAGCAAACAGGAUUAGAUACCCGUGUAGUCCCUGUCUCUUAUAA
rnacentral:rRNA from 1 species